CCUACGGGUGGCAGCAGUGAGGAAUAUUGGUCAAUGGACGGAAGUCUGAACCAGCCAUGCCGCGUGCAGGAUGACGGCUCUAUGAGUUGUAAACUGCUUUUGUAGGAGGGUAAACACCCCUACGUGUAGGGGCUUGAAAGUAUAAUACGAAUAAGGAUCGACUAACUCCGUGCCAGCAGCCGCGGUAAUACGGAGGAUCCAAGCGUUAUCCGGAUUUAUUGGGUUUCAAGGGUGCGUAGGCGGUUUGAUAAGUUCGAGGUCACAUACCGGUGCUCAACACCGGAACUGCCUCUAAUACUGUUGACCUAGAGCGUAGUUGCGUUAGGCGGAAUGUUUGUUGUAGCGGUGAAAUGCUUCGAGCUCAUACAGAACACCGAUUGCGAAGGCAGCUUACCAAACUAUAUCUGCCGUUGAGGCAC
rnacentral:rRNA from 1 species